rnacentral:pre_miRNA from 1 species
GGUGGUGUUGCUGGGUCAUAAGGUAACUAACUUUCUGAGGAACUACCAAACUGCUUUGCAAAAGUGGCUGUACCAAUUUAUAUACCCAGUAGCAGU